UAAUGACUCUCUGAUAACUGACAGCAGAUCUGACCAAUCCAUACAGGGACACAUUUCUGAACAACAAAGGGCUCGGAUGAUGUCAUAGCCAAUCAAAACGGAGCCUUGCGGGCACGCUUCAGGUAAUGACAGCCUUCACCCUGAAGCUGAAGCAGGAGGUUGUUGAGUUCGAGGCCAGCCUAGACUACAUCAGGUUGGCAGCGGAAGAAAAAAGCCGGUGUGAUGGUGCAUGUCAGAAUGUGGGAAGCAGACACAGGAGGAUCUGCAGUUCAAGGUCAGCCUUGGCUACACAGCUGGGCUACAGAACACCCUGUCUGGAUACAAAGAAAAGAAAUUCAAAUCCAAGAGAAAAAGACUUCUCUGUUCUGAUUUAGAAAAACGCAAAGUUGUAUCUCUAGUCUGGGUCUCAUCUCUACCCCCUUGAAGUUGCUACAGGGCUUAGAAGCAUUUAAUACCAUGGGGUAGCCGCUUUGCUGUGAGGUGUAGGGUGAGGAAAUUGCCUGUCUGAGCAGAUUUUCAAAGGAAGCUUGAAAGCAGAAAUGUUAGGCAAAUCUAAACAAUAGACACCCACUCUGGAGUCCAGCCUUAAUAGGAGGGGAGGUGCCUAAUCUUACUGCAACUUGAUAUGCCAUGUUUGGUGGAUAUCCAUGGGAGGAGGCCUGCCCUUUUCUGUAGAGAAACUGAGGAGUGGAUGGGGGAAGGGAGCAGAAAGGAGGAGGUGAGAGGGACUCAGAGGAGAGGAGGGAGGGGAAACUGCGUCAGGAUGUGAAAAAAUUAAAUUGCACUUCUUAGAUUUUGAAUCCAUAUAAUCAUAUCACUGCAAAUAAAUAUAUUUUCUUCAUUCUUUUAUUCAUUA